UACGUAGGGGGCUAGCGUUGUCCGGAAUCAUUGGGCGUAAAGCGCGUGUAGGCGGCCCGGUAAGUCCGCUCUGAAAGUCGGGGGCUCAACCCUCGGAUGCGGGUGGAUACUGUCGGGCUUGAGUGCGGAAGAGGCGAGUGGAAUUCUCGGUGUAGCGGUGAAAUGCGUAGAUAUCGAGAGGAACACCUGCGGCGAAGGCGGGUUGCUGGGCCGACACUGACGCUGAGGCGCGAAAGCUAGGGGAGCGAACGGG
rnacentral:rRNA from 1 species